ACACAUGCAAGUCGAACGGCAGCACAGAAGAGCUUGCUCUUUGGGUGGCGAGUGGCGGACGGGUGAGUAAUGUCUGGGAAACUGCCCGAUGGAGGGGGAUAACUACUGGAAACGGUAGCUAAUACCGCAUAACGUCGCAAGACCAAAGUGGGGGACCUUCGGGCCUCACACCAUCGGAUGUGCCCAGAUGGGAUUAGCUAGUAGGUGGGGUAAUGGCUCACCUAGGCGACGAUCCCUAGCUGGUCUGAGAGGAUGACCAGCCACACUGGAACUGAGACACGGUCCAGACUCCUACGGGAGGCAGCAGUGGGGAAUAUUGCACAAUGGGCGCAAGCCUGAUGCAGCCAUGCCGCGUGUAUGAAGAAGGCCUUCGGGUUGUAAAGUACUUUCAGCGGGGAGGAAGGCGGUGAGGUUAAUAACCUUGCCGAUUGACGUUACCCGCAGAAGAAGCACCGGCUAACUCCGUGCCAGCAGCCGCGGUAAUACGGAGGGUGCAAGCGUUAAUCGGAAUUACUGGGCGUAAAGCGCACGCAGGCGGUCUGUUAAGUCAGAUGUGAAAUCCCCGGGCUUAACCUGGGAACUGCAUUUGAAACUGGCAGGCUUGAGUCUCGUAGAGGGGGGUAGAAUUCCAGGUGUAGCGGUGAAAUGCGUAGAGAUCUGGAGGAAUACCGGUGGCGAAGGCGGCCCCCUGGACGAAGACUGACGCUCAGGUGCGAAAGCGUGGGGAGCAAACAGGAUUAGA
rnacentral:rRNA from 1 species